GACAGAGGGGGCAAGCGUUGCUCGGAAUUACUGGGCGUAAAGAGCUCGUAGGCGGUCUGUCGCGUCGGCUGUGAAAACUCGGGGCUCAACCCCGAGCCUGCAGUCGAUACGGGCAGACUAGAGUCCGGCAGGGGAGACUGGAAUUCCUGGUGUAGCGGUGAAAUGCGCAGAUAUCAGGAGGAACACCGGUGGCGAAGGCGGGUCUCUGGGCCGGAACUGACGCUGAGGAGCGAAAGCGUGGGGAGCGAACAGG
rnacentral:rRNA from 1 species